rnacentral:rRNA from 1 species
GAUGAACGCUGGCGGCGUGCCUAAUACAUGCAAGUCGAGCGAACGGACGAGAAGCUUGCUUCUCUGAUGUUAGCGGCGGACGGGUGAGUAACACGUGGAUAACCUACCUAUAAGACUGGGGUAACUUCGGGAAACCGGAGCUAAUACCGGAUAAUAUUUUGAACCGCAUGGUUCAAAAGUGAAAGACGGUCUUGCUGUCACUUAUAGAUGGAUCCGCGCUGCAUUAGCUAGUUGGUAAGGUAACGGCUUACCAAGGCAACGAUGCAUAGCCGACUUGAGAGGGUGAUCGGCCACACUGGAACUGAGACACGGUCCAGACUCCUACGGGAGGCAGCAGUAGGGAAUCUUCCGCAAUGGGCGAAAGCCUGACGGAGCAACGCCGCGUGAGUGAUGAAGGUCUUCGGAUCAUAAAACUCUGUUAUUAGGGAAGAACAUAUGUGUAAGUAACUGUGCACAUCUUGACGGUACCUAAUCAGAAAGCCACGGCUAACUACGUG